UAGACAACGACAGUAACACUUAUGUUUAUGAGUUCUCUGCAUCUUCUGGUGGUUUUACAGGUAGAUAUGUGGAUAGGGCCGUGAUUGAAUGGAAAGGAAGAGCACACACGUAUGAGAAAUAUCCUCAACUUCAACUGUUGAGGAUCAUUAAUCUUGCAGAAAACAAAUUGUCUGGGGAAAUUCCAGGGGAAAUAACCAGCAUUCUAGCUAUGGUUGGACUGAACUUAUCAAGAAAUUAUUUGACUGGAAUGAUUCCUCAGGAGAUUGGCCAAUUGAAGCAGUUGCAGUGGCUUGAUUUAUCAAGAAAUCGCUUAUCAGGAGAUAUUCCUGCUAGCAUGGCUGAGUUACAUUUUUUGAGUACGGUGGACCUUUCCUACAAUAACUUGUCAGGGAGAAUUCCAACAAGCACUCAGCUUCAAAGCUUUGAUGCUUCUUCAUUUGCUGGUAAUGUGAAUCUCUGUGGGCCACCGGUCAUACGAAAUUGUCCUGGAGAUGAGAGGCCUCAAAUUGGACCAACAAAUGAUGAUGACCAAGACAACGAAGAAAAUGAUGAUGAAUUCAGGAAUUGGUUUUAUGGUGGUUUGGGAUCUGGAUUUAGCAUUGGCUUUUGGGGAUUUUUGGGCAUUUUAAUGCUACGGCCUUCUUGGAGACGUGUCCUUUUCCAGUUCCUGUAUAAAAAAGGCACCGGAUCUUCGUGAAUAAUUUUAAAACAUGUUUAAAUAUAGUUGAUAAACCUGUGUGAUUUAAUUAUUAUUUUCAAGUGAUAAAUCCAGGUCGAACCUGGAGACUGAAUUAUUAGAUUUUGGUGUGGUUAUGUAAAGGAAACAAAGGAAACAAAGAUUGAGGGGAGAGGAGGGUUUGUAACACAAAAUCAGAAGAAAUCAGAAAUUCAAGAACUAAAUAUGAAAAUCUCAAUUUAAACAAACUUCAG
rnacentral:misc_RNA from 1 species